UACGGAGGGUGCAAGCGUUAAUCGGAAUUACUGGGCGUAAAGCGUGCGUAGGCGGUUCGUUAAGUCUGUUGUGAAAGCCCCGGGCCCAACCUGGGAAUGGCAAUGGAUACUGGCGAGCUAGAGUGUGUCAGAGGAUGGUGGAAUUCCCGGUGUAGCGGUGAAAUGCGUAGAGAUCGGGAGGAACAUCAGUGGCGAAGGCGGCCAUCUGGGACAACACUGACGCUGAGGCACGAAAGCUGGGGGGAGCAAACAGG
rnacentral:rRNA from 1 species